rnacentral:rRNA from 1 species
GAUGAACGCUGGCGGCGUGCCUAAUACAUGCAAGUCGAGCGAACAGACGAGGAGCUUGCUCCUCUGACGUUAGCGGCGGACGGGUGAGUAACACGUGGAUAACCUACCUAUAAGACUGGGAUAACUUCGGGAAACCGGAGCUAAUACCGGAUAAUAUAUUGAACCGCAUGGUUCAAUAGUGAAAGACGGUUUUGCUGUCACUUAUAGAUGGAUCCGCGCCGCAUUAGCUAGUUGGUAAGGUAACGGCUUACCAAGGCAACGAUGCGUAGCCGACCUGAGAGGGUGAUCGGCCACACUGGAACUGAGACACGGUCCAGACUCAUACGGGAGGCAGCAGUAGGGAAUCUUCCGCAAUGGGCGAAAGCCUGACGGGGCAACGCCGCGUGAGUGAUGAAGGUCUUCGGAUCGUAAAACUCUGUUAUUAGGGAAGAACAAAUGUGUAAGUAACUAUGCACGUCUUGACGGUACCUAAUCAGAAAGCCACGGCUAACUACGUG